UAGGGAAUCUUCGGCAAUGGGGGGAACCCUGACCGAGCAACGCCGCGUGAGUGAAGAAGGUUUUCGGAUCGUAAAGCUCUGUUGUUAAGGAAGAACGAGUGUGAGAAUGGAAAGUUCAUACUGUGACGGUACUUAACCAGAAAGGGACGGCUAACUACGUGCCAGCAGCCGCGGUAAUACGUAGGUCCCGAGCGUUGUCCGGAUGUAUUGGGCGUAAAGCGAGCGCAGGCGGUUAGAUAAGUCUGAAGUUAAAGGCAGUGGCUCAACCAUUGUAGGCUUUGGAAACUGUUUAACUUGAGUGCAGAAGGGGAGAGUGGAAUUCCAUGUGUAGCGGUGAAAUGCGUAGAUAUAUGGAGGAACACCGGUGGCGAAAGCGGCUCUCUGGUCUGUAACUGACGCUGAGGCUCGAAAGCGUGGGGAGCGAACAGG
rnacentral:rRNA from 1 species